GUCUUAUUGAAAAUAAUUUUAAGUCAAUCUGCCCAAUGAAUAAUUUAUUUUAAUGGCCGCAGUAUAACUAACUGUACAAAGGUAGCAUAAUCAAUUGGUUUUUAAAUGAAAUCUGGAAUGAAAGGAUUAAUGAAAUAUAUACUGUCUCAUAUUUAUUUUAUGAAUUUAAAAUUUUAAUAAAAAUGUUAAAAUUUAUUUAUGGGACGAUAAGACCCUAUAGAAUUUUAUAUUAAAUUAAUUUUAUAAUUAAAUAUAAAAUUUAAUUUAAUAUUUAAUUGGGAGAAUUAUUAAAUUUAAUAAAUUUUAAUUAAUAAAAACUUUAAUUAAAGAAAAUUUAUUGAUUUUUAAUUUAAAAUUAAUAGAUUAAAUUACCUUAGGGAUAACAGCGUAAUAUUUUUUUAUAGAUCUUAUAGAAAAAAAUGAUUGCGACCUCGAUGUUGAAUUAAGAUAAAUUUUAAAUGUAGAAGUUUAAUAAUUAAGUCUGUUCGACUUUUAAAAUCUUACAUGAUUUGAGUUCAAAUCGACGUAAGU
rnacentral:rRNA from 1 species